UAAGAAAGCUCAUGGCCAGGGUGGUCCUGGAGGACUGAAUGACUAAACAACAAGAACAACUUAGUAACUCUCUGGAGUCAUGAUGGUGUAUUCUUCCACAAUGACUUAUUUGCUCAUAAUACAUUAGAAUAUUUCUGAAAGUGUGUUCCAUUACCCUUAACAUCUUGACUUGCUGUCUCUUGGCUAUUAUGAACGCUGAUAGUUUUUCUGUGGUGACGAUCAAAUUAAGGUAUUCCUUCCUGCUGGAAAUUGUUUGCAUCUAUUAAUGGAAACAUUCUUCAUGUUGCAUGUUUAUAAAGGAGAACCCAUUAUGUGGAAUAAAGAGGCCAUACUAUAGAGUCAGAGGCUAGCAACCAGAAGCAUGAUGAAGACCGAUCAGGUGACCCCUUUACUCCCAGUCCAUGUAAAGAAGCAGUACUCUGGAGCUGUGUGAGCUGCUGCUACCACCAUGAGUUUGAUACACCUGUACAACACUACCUAAAAGGCCUACCUAUUAGUUCGGCCUUUGAACAACCACCUCAGUCUGUUACCACCAGGUACAUCCCUUCAUGAAGCUGACGCUCCACUAGCAUAGCUAUUGAGAAUUUAUAGUCACCUCCAUGUCACUGUCUGCCCUAGGCAGACCCACACAUACAAAGAGAAAGCAAGGCUGGGGAGACAAGUGAUUGCUGGAAAAACAAAUUAAACCGACAAUCAGACUUAAAUUCUGGUCCUAACUUUCCAUUGUACAAGUUGGUAAAAGUUACUUAAUGCCUUUGGGGGGUUUGAUUCCUUUUGUUUCCUCAUAUUAAAAAGGGAAUGGACUGGACUGGAUUAAGUAAUCUUUACAGUGUCUUGCAAAUUGUAAGUACUGCUGAUCAACAAACAGCAGAAAGUAUGGCAUAGUUGUUUAAAAAAGUAUUUCAUCAUUUCAUCAGAAAAAAGCCCCAAUUUGUGAUUCUGGCCUUGUUAAUAAUAACUGAGUGAUCUUGGACACAAAACUUAACUUUUCUGGCCU